UUAGAUACCCUGGUAGUCCACGCAGUAAACGAUGAUUACUAAUUGUCCGGGACGAAUGAGUCUUGGGUGAUACAGCGAAAGCGUUAAGUAAUCCACCUGGGGAGUACGCCGGCAACGGUGAAACUCAAAGGAAAUGACGGGGGGCCGCACAAGCGGAGGAACAUGUGGUGUAAUUCGAUGAUACGCGAGGAACUUCACCCGGGCUCAAACGUAAAAGGAAUACAGGUGAAAGUCUGUAGCCCUCCGGGGUCUUCUUCGAGGUGGUGCAUGGUUGUCGUCAGCUCGUCCCGUGAGGGGUCGGUCUUAAGAGCCAUAACGAGCGCAACCCCCAUCUACAGUUGCUAACAGGUAAAGCUGAGGACUCUGUGGAGACUGCCGGCGCAAGCUGUGAGGAAGGCGGGGAUGACGUCAAAUCAGCACGGCUCUUACGUCCGGGGCGACACACGUGUUACAAUGGCAGGGACAGCGGGAAGCCAUAUGGCGACAUAGAGCAGAACCCGAAACCCUGUCUCAGUUCGGAUUGGAGUCUGCAACUCGACUCCAUGAAGCUGGAUUCGCUAGUAAUCGCGCAUCAGCCAUGGCGCGGUGAAUACGUAACCGGGCCUUGCACACACCGCCCGUCAAG
rnacentral:rRNA from 1 species